GAUGAACGCUAGCUACAGGCUUAACACAUGCAAGUCGAGGGGAAACGAUAUUGGAAGCUUGCUUCCGAUAGGCGUCGACCGGCGCACGGGUGAGUAACGCGUAUCCAACCUGCCCAUCACUUGGGGAUAACCUUGCGAAAGUAAGACUAAUACCCAAUGACGUCUCUAGAGGACAUCUGAAAGAGAUUAAAGAUUUAUCGGUGAUGGAUGGGGAUGCGUCUGAUUAGCUUGUUGGCGGGGUAACGGCCCACCAAGGCGACGAUCAGUAGGGGUUCUGAGAGGAAGGUCCCCCACAUUGGAACUGAGACACGGUCCAAACUCCUACGGGAGGCAGCAGUGAGGAAUAUUGGUCAAUGGGCGAGAGCCUGAACCAGCCAAGUAGCGUGCAGGGAGACGGCCCUAUGGGUUGUAAACUGCUUUUAUAAGGGAAUAAAGUGGGAGUCGUGACUCCUUUUGCAUGUACCUUAUGAAUAAGGACCGGCUAAUUCCGUGCCAGCCGCCGCAGUAA
rnacentral:rRNA from 1 species